rnacentral:lncRNA from 1 species
GAUUUUAUAUUUGAAAUUCAGGUUUUUAAAUGCUUGACUGACUGUAAGGUUGAUAUUGUUGAUUACAGUCUCACAGCACAUACAACUGCCAGUAACUUCCCAUUGUGUGUUUAAAACAAAACUUGAAAUCAAAUUUAGGAGAAAAUAAUCUGUAUGCACUUGGAAUCUAAAACUGACUUACUAUGUCUGAAUAGUAUUUUUAUAUCACUGUGGUGGUGUUUUGGUACCUUCCUGUUUCGGAUUAGGAUUCUGAUUCUGAUUGAAAAAUUGGCCAUCUGUAUGUUACGCUUCAACUAGCUCCUUUGUGCAGUAAUCUCUCAUAACAACCGGAUUGAUAUAUUACAUUUUAAAAUAUUGUAGUACCUUUUUAUUAGGCUUGACAUCUUAAUGAUAUCUAUUUGAGUGUCUCUCUGUUGAGAAAACAUUUGAAACAUUAUGAAGAUUCUAGAAGACAGUUGUAUAGAUUUGAUAAACUUAGAAGUUUUAAAUAUCAUUUUUGUACCUUUAAACUAUGCUAUAUUGUCUUACUGACUUUCAGUUAUUAGAUUUUGCUGUCCUUGGAAAGUAAUUUGAAACCUCAGUGGUGUAACUUUGAAAAUGUUACAUACAGAUUUACUUAUAGACUGUAGAACAGAAAUCCAUACUGUUCAUUUUAGCAAGACUUUAAGUUUUAGGAUUAAAUAAUUUGAGUUUUUCAGCUUUUGCCUUGAGUCUUUAUGGCUUGCUUGAAUAAACCAGAGGUAUAGAGAAACUGGUCCAUGAUUGGAGGAAGCUGUUUUGGUCAGUCAGAUGGAAGAAGUGAUGAGGACUGUUCAUUGAUUUGCUUUCUAUAUAAUAUUUGUUUUAUAGAAGAUACUUCUUAGACAUUAGUGACUUUUUUCUUACCAGACAUCUCGAUAAAGGCCUGGUCAAAAAUGCUUCUCGUAAAGUGAUAACAAGGGAAUACUGUGAAAACUUGAUCUUAAUUAUGAGGAAACUCUUCUCCAUGAAAUAUAUAUAUAUUUUUAUCUUUUCUGUUUCUCUUCUAUCUUCAUCCAGCUGUGGAAUGCUAGGGAAGAACAUUCUUGGGGAAGUUCUUGUGCUAAUUAUAGAUCACAUUAUUAGUUUCCUUAAAAGUUAAAAAUUUUUUUUUAGUCAUACAUGGGCACAAUAUCUUUAUUUUGUUUACUUUUAUGUGGUGCUGAGAAUCGAACCCAAUUCAGGAGCUCAAUUCAACUAUAAGAAAAUGAUAAGGAGAAGGAAAUACUAAUUACUCUGAUUUCAUAAGUACAUGCUACGUGCAAGUGUUGAAAUAUCCCACUGAACCCCAUUAAUUUGUAUAAUUAAUAUAUGUUAAUAUAAAAUUUUUAGAGUGUGAGGUACAAUAAGGACAUUUUCAAGUAAACGGAAAUAUCACAGGACUGUACUUCAGGCAGGAGAAUUAGCUAAAUAUUCAAACAUCAUGAGCACAGACUAGUAGAUAGGUGAGUAAAUCUAAACAAAUCACUGUCCAAAAUAAUAAUAAUAAUUGUC